rnacentral:rRNA from 1 species
CACGAAAUAAUAUGAGCUAACUUAUAAUAGUACCUAGACUUACAAAUAUGUAGCAUAAUAUAAUAAAAUUAUGAGUUAGGGGUGACAGGCCUAUCAAGUUUUAGGAUAUCUUGAUAUCUUUUAGAAACAAUAGUGUUUGAAACAACUAAGUAGUAACAAGGCUACUUAGAAGCACAAAUAUAUAUAAAUAUUCUUAAUGCGAUUUAACAAUCAUUUAUAGUUAAUACUAUUAUUCAUAUAUUAAAUUUGUGUAACUAUAAAAGAUAUUUAUUAACAAUGAUAAUUAUUUAUAAUGUAGUUAUAAGUCAUUUGAAAAGCUAUUAUUAAUGAACUUGGCAACAUAUCUUUCAACUGUUUAUCAAAAACAUUGUCGUGCGUAUUUACUCAUGAUAAUUUCUGCUCAAUGAACUUUAAAUAGCCGCAGUACCCUGACUGUGCAAAGGUAGCGAAAUAAAUUGACUUAUAAUUGAAGUCCUGCAUGAAUGAAAGUUUGGGGGAUAACUGUGUCAGUAAUAUAAGAUUAAUUUAUUAAGUAAGUGAAAAUACUUACAUUUUAAAUGAUAGACGAGAAGACCCUAGAAAUUUUUAUGAUUGAUUAAUUAAGUAUUUUUGUUGGGGCAACAAGGUAACAAAUAAUUUACCGUUAAUUUACAAGAAAUAAUUUAGUAAGAUUAAAUUACUCUAGGGAUAACAGCGUAAUUAGAAUUAGCUUGCGACCCUCGAUGUUGGACUAGGGAUCGA